GUUGCUUGAAAGCAACGCGCCUAUUCACAUGGAGAAUCUUCCCUUUCCUUUAAGAUUACUUAGUGCCUCAUCGCUAAACGCCCCCAGCUCCACACCAUGGGUGCUGGAUAUCUUCCUCACCUUGGUGUUUGCCCUGGGGUUCUUCUUCCUGUUACUCCCCUACUUCUCUUACCUCCGUUGUGACGACCCACCCUCACCAUCGCCUGGGAAGAGAAAGGUUGGAGUGAAAUGGAGCGAUAUCGGCUCAUUGCAACCUCUGCUUCCCGAAUUCAAGCGAUUCUCCUGUCUUAGCGUCCUGAAUAGCUGGGGAUUACAGGCGCCCACCACCAUGCCCGCCUAAUUUUUGUAUUUUUAGUAGAGACGGGGUUUCACCAUGGCCAGGCUGGUCUCAAACUCCUGACCUCAGGUGAUCAACCACCUUGGCCUCCCAAAGUGCUUGGAUUAUAGGUGUGAGCCACCGCGCCCGGCCCCCUCUUGCUGUUUUUCUAAGAAGAAAAGCAGUUUAUCAUCCAUUUAAACAUGAGUGGGAGGAAGCACACAGAGCUCCCUGAGCAAGACAGAGAGAGCUAUGCGGUUCCUGAGU
rnacentral:sRNA from 1 species